GGGGAUGGGCCAUAGCUCGGUGACUGAGCAUCUGCCUUCCAGGGAGAAGGUCCCAAGUGCAAUCCUUGGUAUCUCCA